UGUUAACAUUGUGUUUGCCUUAAGUGGAGUCCAAGUGUGCUCCAAAGUGUUUAGUUGGCAAUUUACGCUCGUGGCGCAAGUUCCUCCAAACAAAAGAAAUCAUUGUGAUAACAAAACAACAAAUACGUUUAUCACUACUAUUCAUUAAGAAAUAGUACUCUGAGUGCAUCCAUCAUUGAUUUUGUUUUAUGAAAAGAAAGACGCUAAAAUAAAAGCGCACCAAAACCAAAAAAAAAAAAAAAAAAAUACAACAACUACAAAACCAGCGAAAUAUAACUCGUAUUAUAAAUUCUCCUCACAUCUCCGUUUUGUGACGGGAGCAGAGUGAAAGAAAAAAUCACCGACUGUUAGAGCGUGAUUGUAUGUGCGUUUCGAGUGUGUGACAUUUUCGGAACAGUGCACCAAACUGUGUGAACUCCAACGGAGCCAACAUUCUUCUGUUGCUGCUACGGCUGUUGUCGCCGUUCUUCUUUUGGAUUUUCAGCUUUAGAGUAGGUCAGUUUCACAAUCCAUUGAUUGCAAUAAAUAUAUAUUGUGAUUGAAAAAUUAGUACGUAUAACGCUGACACUUAAAUCCUUCAAAAAAUCUUUAGUCGUCUGGAACACUCAUAGAGAGGACAAUAAUUUCAAGAGAAAAAA
rnacentral:sRNA from 1 species